GAUUGAACGCUGGCGGCAGGCUUAACACAUGCAAGUCGAGCGGAGUGAUGGUGCUUGCACUAUCACUUAGCGGCGGACGGGUGAGUAAUGCUUAGGAAUCUGCCAUUUAGUGGGGGACAACAUUCCGAAAGGAAUGCUAAUACCGCAUACGUCCUACGGGAGAAAGCAGGGGAUCUUCGGACCUUGCGCUAAAUGAUGAGCCUAAGUCGGAUUAGCUAGUUGGUGGGGUAAAGGCCUACCAAGGCGACGAUCUGUAGCGGGUCUGAGAGGAUGAUCCGCCACACUGGGACUGAGACACGGCCCAGACUCCUACGGGAGGCAGCAGUGGGGAAUAUUGGACAAUGGGCGGAAGCCUGAUCCAGCCAUGCCGCGUGUGUGAAGAAGGCCUUUUGGUUGUAAAGCACUUUAAGCGAGGAGGAGGCUACUAGUACUAAUACUACUGGAUAGUGGACGUUACUCGCAGAAUAAGCACCGGCUAACUCU
rnacentral:rRNA from 1 species